UCCCAAACUGUGAUAUGUGCCUUCACA
rnacentral:piRNA from 1 species